GCCGGGCACGGGCUAUGAGUGGACCGCGAUGUCGUAUCAGGAGAAAGCCGUCGGCAGCCAAAUCUACUACGUGUUUGGCCUCGCCUUGCUGCUGGUCUAUCUGGUUCUGGCUGGCCCGUAUNNNNNNNNNNNUCGCGCCGAUUGCGGUCAUUCUGGCGGUGCCGUUAUCUCUGCUCGGGCCGAUGGCAGUCCUGACGGGACUGAGGAUCGAGAACAACCUCUAUACGCAGAUCGGCCUGAUCCUGCUGA
rnacentral:misc_RNA from 1 species